rnacentral:rRNA from 1 species
CCGGCACGGGUGAGUAACACGUAUCCAACCUGCCGUCUACUCUUGGACAGCCUUCUGAAAGGAAGAUUAAUACAAGAUGGCAUCAUGAGUCCGCAUGUUCACAUGAUUAAAGGUGUUCCGGUAGACGAUGGGGAUGCGUUCCAUUAGAUAGUAGGCGGGGUAACGGCCCACCUAGUCUUCGAUGGAUAGGGGUUCUGAGAGGAAGGUCCCCCACAUUGGAACUGAGACACGGUCCAA